AACGAACGCUGGCGGCAGGCUUAACACAUGCAAGUCGAGCGCAUCCUUCGGGGUGAGCGGCAGACGGGUGAGUAACGCGUGGGAAUCUACCUUUUGCUACGGAAUAGCUCCGGGAAACUGGAAUUAAUACCGUAUGUGCCCUUAGGGGGAAAGAUUUAUCGGCAAGAGAUGAGCCCGCGUUGGAUUAGCUAGUUGGUGGGGUAAAGGCCUACCAAGGCGACGAUCCAUAGCUGGUCUGAGAGGAUGAUCAGCCACAUUGGGACUAAGACACGGCCCAAACUCCUACGGGAGGCAGCAGUGGGGAAUAUUGGACAAUGGGCGCAAGCCUGAUCCAGCCAUGCCGCGUGAGUGAUGAAGGCCUUAGGGUUGUAAAGCUCUUUCACCGGAGAAGAUAAUGACGGUAUCCGGAGAAGAAGCCCCGGCUAACUUCGUG
rnacentral:rRNA from 1 species